UUGUCGCAUAGGCAAGGGGCAAGGCAUACUGGCAUAGGUCCCGUGGCUUCACUGGUUUCGCGCGCUUUCUCGGUGUUUUCGAAGUUGGGCUCGUGGAUCCGGUCUGCAUUUCAGUCGAAGAGCUUACGCUUGGCGGGAAGCGCGCCAUGGAAAGCGAAUACGAAACCAUUCGUGUGUGACCUGAAAAGCGUGCUCCAAGAAGGCCUGACACUAGGAAGCAAGACAUUUGCAGUACAGGUGACCCCUUUGUCGUGGUUUCUUUUCCUCAAGAAGAGGACAGCUUGGCCAUCAUUCACAAGUCAUGGCUGAAAGAAGACCACCGCUGUACAUUUUGGUCAAUAGAAAGAAACCCUGG